rnacentral:rRNA from 1 species
UACGAAGGGGGCUAGCGUUGCUCGGAAUUACUGGGCGUAAAGGGCGCGUAGGUGGACUGUUUAGUCAGAGGUGAAAGCCCAGGGCUCAACCUUGGAAUUGCCUUUGAUACUGGCAGUCUUGAGUACGGAAGAGGUAUGUGGAACUCCGAGUGUAGAGGUGAAAUGCGCAGAUAUCAGGAAGAACACCCGUGGCGAAGGCGGCUCUCUGGGACGGUACUGACGCUGAGACGCGAAAGCGUGGGGAGCGAACAGG